UACGGGAGGCAGCAGUGAGGAAUAUUGGACAAUGGGCGCAAGCCUGAUCCAGCCAUGCCGCGUGCAGGAAGACGGCCCUAUGGGUUGUAAACUGCUUUUAUACAGGAAGAAACACUCCCUCGUGAGGGAGCUUGACGGUACUGUAUGAAUAAGCACCGGCUAACUCCGUGCCAGCAGCCGCGGUAAU
rnacentral:rRNA from 1 species